GAGAAUAUUAUUGUCAUUGUCUUGCACGAGACACGUAUAGACCUUCACAUGGGAAAAGCAAAAUUCUGAAAAAAAAAUUAUGAAUAAAUAGGUCAUGGGCAUCAACUACUUAAUUUUUAUGUAAGUUCCUAUAUUCUUAAUAAUAAAAAAAAAAUUAAUAAUUGUUAUAGAGUUUUAACUCAAUAAUUUUAUAUUAAUCUUUAUUUAAAAUUACACAAAGCAGAGAGUUCAGAAAUUUUUUGAAGUCUAUAAAAUGUACAUAAAAAAUUUUAUAUCAAUUAAAAAAUGAACCUUGGUGAAGAAAUGAUUGAUUGAUUAUAAGCAAGGGUCAGGAAACGUGUCCACUUGCUGUAGGCUUUUAACAUCCUAUUAUAUAUUUUGCUCUUUCUGCAUGAAGAUUUCAGAAAUUUAGAUAGUCAGUAAUUAACAGUGUAACACAGACUGCUACCACACCAUGACAAGUCACACGAUACAUAUAAACAAUGCUUGGAGCUUUAAGCUUUUACAGAAAUUUAAUCAACUUCAUGU
rnacentral:misc_RNA from 1 species